AUUUGAUUCUUCGGAUGAAGAUCUUGGUGACUGAGUGGCGGACGGGUGAGUAACGCGUGGGUAACCUGCCUCAUACAGGGGGAUAACAGUUAGAAAUGACUGCUAAUACCGCAUAAGACCACAGCACCGCAUGGUGCAGGGGUAAAAACUCCGGUGGUAUGAGAUGGACCCGCGUCUGAUUAGGUAGUUGGUGGGGUAACGGCCUACCAAGCCGACGAUCAGUAGCCGACCUGAGAGGGUGACCGGCCACAUUGGGACUGAGACACGGCCCAAACUCCUACGGGAGGCAGCAGUGGGGAAUAUUGCACAAUGGGGGAAGCCCUGAUGCAGCGACGCCGCGUGAGCGAUGAAGUAUUUCGGUAUGUAAAGCUCUAUCAGCAGGGAAGAAAAUGACGGUACCUGACUAAGAAGCACCGGCUAAAUACGUGCCAGCAGCCGCGGUAAUACGUAUGGUGCAAGCGUUAUCCGGAUUUACUGGGUGUAAAGGGAGCGUAGACGGAGUGGCAAGUCUGAUGUGAAAACCCGGGGCUCAACCCCGGGACUGCAUUGGAAACUGUCAAUCUGGA
rnacentral:rRNA from 1 species